GACGAACGCUGGCGGCGUGCCUAACACAUGCAAGUCGAACGGAAAGGCCCUGCUUUUGUGGGGUGCUCGAGUGGCGAACGGGUGAGUAACACGUGAGUAACCUGCCCUUGUCUUUGGGAUAACUUCAGGAAACUGGGGCUAAUAUCGGAUAGGAGCUCCUGCUGCAUGGUGGGGGUUGGAAAGUUUCGGCGGUUGGGGAUGGACUCGCGGCUUAACAGCUUGUUGGUGGGGUAGUGGAUUACGAAGGGUUUGACGGGUAGCCGGCAUGGGAGGGGGACCGGGGUCAUGAGGACUGAGAGACGGAGCAGACGCCUACGGGAGGCAGCGGGCGAGAGUAUGACGGAGUGGGCGGGAGUCAGUGGCGACAACGCCGCGUGCGGGAUGACGGCUUUCGGGGGAUGAACCGCUGUCGCCGGUGACGAAGCGUGAGUGACGGUAAUGAGUAAAGAAGCACCGGCUAACUACGUG
rnacentral:rRNA from 1 species